CACUACAACAAUAAAGGGCUAUCACAACACCCAUUUUACGACAAAGUAGCAUAUGUGUCAAGAUAAUACUUCUAUCACGACAUUAUAUUUUUCGAUCAAUUUAAUACAAAAUAAUUUAAAGGCUUUAACGACAUUUUAAGAUAUGUGUUGUAAUACAAACUCAAUAACGACACUAUCUUACGCCCCACCCCAUGCUUAUCGUGCUGAACCUAUUCUUUUUAUAAUUAAUUAACGAAAAAUAUUAAAAAUGAGAAGAGAAUACUACUAUACGCCAAAGGAAAUAAAUAGGCGGUAACUUUCCCACCAAAUUUAUACUCGGAAAAAUAUUAGGAUAGUGUUGUAUUAAUUUUUGGAUUUUCUUAGAUUUAUUUUGAGGUUUUCUAUUCUCUUAUAUUCUAAAAAAACUUAAAAACUAAUCAUCCUCCCCACAGUAAAUAAAAAAGAAACAUUCUCCGUCCUCAGAUAAAAAAAAAAGAGGAACUCUAAGAAUCAAAUUGGCAGUUUUCCGUCUCGUCUCGUCUCUUCUCAAUUCUCCCAUAAACGUGAUAUCGACCGUCGUCCGACCUGAAAUGUUAAGAAAGGCAUUAGCCACCUUCAACACAUACUCUGUAUUCGAGAUUGCUACAAAGAAUGUAUCUUGAAGAAGAUGGUCAGGUGCAUGCAAGGUUUUUUAGUUGAUACUAAUUGUUUUGUCAUAUUGAAAGUUAGUAAAUUGAAAGAUCAUUUAUAUAAACUGAAAGAUCAUUUAUAUUGGAAAUUUUGGCAGAGGUUCAAGAAAUGGUGGAGGUGCACUUAAAGUUCACAUAAAAAUGAUUAACGACUCAGCAGGUACAUGUUCGUCUUGUGAAUCAUCUUUCCUUUUGGUAGUCCUCCUGUAUGCUCAUUAAUAAGAUCUUUUUCUCUUUAUCUUAGAGCUUAACAUAGAGUGUUUAGUAGUUGUUUAGUCUGAUUUUUUUUACUUUAAUAUUUGUUAUAUAUUCCAUCAGUGCUUAUAUAAAACUGUAUUCUCAUUUACAUCUCUGUCUAUGGUUUUGUUCACACUAGACAUGCCGUUCUUUUAACUCAUUCCGAAGAUCCCUAUAUAUUUGAAUACAUGGAAGCAUCCAUUUAAUGGAGAUUUGGCAGCAAAUCGAGAUUCAACUUCAAUGGCUAUACUUAUUUGUGCGAAGAAGAAGUUAUCAAGCUAGUACUUACAUGCUUGGAGGCGUAUUGCUGUUAGAUUUAAAUUUGAAACUUGUAGAGGUAUUUUGGCAGGACUUAGUAGUGGUUAUUCACCAGCUCAUCUAGUAACAAUGGGUUUAGUUUCUUUUCUUUUUCUUUUGACCUGAAGUUCUGACUAUUGUAAUUAUUUGUUU
rnacentral:lncRNA from 1 species